AUGUAUGACAGUAUUGAAUCACGGCGAGAGAGUAAUGUAGCUUCGUCCCUCCCUGAUACCGUGCAAUCAUGUCUAAUGUCUUUCAUUAAAUCUCCGCGGAGGUGCCGGCCGGCCGGUACAUAUGUCAGUGCAUCAUCUAUCUCAGACUCUCAGUCACAGCUAUCUAAUUGGGGUAUAUUCAUCUCCAAUUACAGCCUCAUACUUUUUUGGACAUUCAUUUACAGCCCGAUCUACUUGGAUGUGCAGACCUGGGAGUUGGAACAAUUCACCAAGAGAAGCCAGUUCGUGUAUAACAGAAUGGGUGGAAUUUAUCAUGAGAUCCUACCCAAAUCCGAGUACUUCUCCAAGACACUGUACACCUUCCAUUUCGCCCAAAACGAUCUCUCUGUGGGCUACUUCACCAAUAAGACUACCAAACAGAUUGAGGCCUAUGACCCCGAUCCUAAGGAGCGGUUCACUGUGGCAGGUACAAUUCAAACUAAUUUGCUGACAAUCUCGCUCACAACCAAGGAAAAUUUAGUUCUUGACACAAUUAACAUUACAUGA
rnacentral:rRNA from 1 species